AACGCACAUUGCGCCCCUUGGUAUUCCAUGGGGCAUGCCUGUUCGAGCGUCAUUUGUUCCCUCAAGCUAUGCUUGGUGUUGGGUGUUUGUCCUCUCCCUUUGCGUUUGGACUCGCCUUAAAGAAAUUGGCAGCCAGUGUAUUGGUAUAGAAGCGCAGCACAAUUUGCGAUUCUAGCUAAUAAUUACUUGCAACCAUCAAGUCUAUUUAACACUUUUGACCUCGGAUCAGGUAGGGAUACCCGCUGAACUUAA
rnacentral:misc_RNA from 2 species